rnacentral:rRNA from 1 species
AUUGAACGCUGGCGGCAGGCCUAACACAUGCAAGUCGAGCGGUUGAGAAGAGCUUGCUCUUCGAUUCAGCGGCGGACGGGUGAGUAAUGCCUAGGAAUCUGCCUGGUAGUGGGGGACAACGUUUCGAAAGGAACGCUAAUACCGCAUACGUCCUACGGGAGAAAGCAGGGGACCUUCGGGCCUUGCGCUAUCAGAUGAGCCUAGGUCGGAUUAGCUAGUUGGUGAGGGAAUGGCUCACCAAGGCGACGAUCCGUAACUGGUCUGAGAGGAUGAUCAGUCACACUGGAACUGAGAGACGGUCCAGACUCCUACGGGAGGCAGCAGUGGGGAAUAUUGGACAAUGGGCGAAAGCCUGAUCCAGCCAUGCCGCGUGUGUGAAGAAGGUCUUCGGAUUGUAAAGCACUUUAAGUUGGGAGGAAGGGCAGUAAGUUAAUACCUUGCUGUUUUGACGUUACCGACAGAAUAAGCACCGGCUAACUCUGUGCCAGCCGCCGCUGUAAAAC